rnacentral:rRNA from 1 species
UACGGAGGGCGCGAGCGUUAAUCGGAAUUACUGGGCGUAAAGCGCGCGUAGGCUGUUGUGUAAGUUGGGGGUGAAAUCCCACGGCUCAACCGUGGAACAGCCCUUGAUACUGCGCGACUUGAAUCCGGGAGAGGGUGGCGGAAUUCCAGGUGUAGGAGUGAAAUCCGUAGAUAUCUGGAGGAACAUCGGUGGCGAAGGCGGCCACCUGGACCGGUAUUGACGCUGAGGCGCGAAAGCGUGGGGAGCAAACAGG